rnacentral:rRNA from 1 species
CAGCAGCCACGGUAAUACGUAGGGUGCGAGCGUUAAUCGGAAUUACUGGGCGUAAAGCGUGCGCAGGCGGUUAUGUAAGACAGUUGUGAAAUCCCCGGGCUCAACCUGGGAACUGCAUCUGUGACUGCAUAGCUAGAGUACGGUAGAGGGGGAUGGAAUUCCGCGUGUAGCAGUGAAAUGCGUAGAUAUGCGGAGGAACACCGAUGGCGAAGGCAAUCCCCUGGACCUGUACUGACGCUCAUGCACGAAAGCGUGGGGAGCAAACAGUAUUAGAUACCCCCGUAGUCCCUGUCUCUUAUAC